GAGAUCACUGCGAGGCGUCGCUCCAAAUGGAGGCAGCGUGUACCUGUAAAAACAUUCCCCUGUGAUUUAUUGCUGAGAGAAAAAAAUUGCCCCACUUUCCGCUUACUUAAUUAACACAUGACAUUAUCUGAGGUGGCAAGCUAAUAGUGUUGCCGAGAAAGAAGGACCAACCCCUAUAAAGGUGGUAAAUGUGUUACGUGUGUUAGAGAGAGGCUAAUAGGGCAAAAUGCCUGGCCGACUAAACUUCUAGCAUAUCCCAUUGUCAAGAAAGCAAACAUUUCUCCACGCGGGUUAGUUAUUGCACUGUCAGAGAGUUGUCAAAAUGAGAAUUCCCCUCUGUGCGUCCUCGAUGGGUUUGGACAGUUUGGCGUAGUGUGCGUUACCGAGGCUUGAAAACACGACGCCAUCACUAAAGAAGGUGUGUACUGGGACUGCUGUAUUCCACUCUUCGUGCUGUUCAGAGAAAUCACCGCUUACGUUCUCCUGAAUCCAGCAAUAUUUCAAACAACUUUUGGGAAGUCACCUUUUUACAACCCUAGUCAGAAUGUAAAAUGUACCCCAAAGUCCAUAUAAAUACCCAACAAAUCCAGAGACACAUUUUCCAAAGCUAUUUAGAUGUACAUAUCUUAUAUCAAACAUAAGUAAAUAAAUGAAUAAGACCCAUC